rfam:Schistosoma haematobium scaffold75_9, whole genome shotgun sequence.
GCACUGCUGAUGAGUCCCAUACUAGGACGAAACGGCCGUCUAGUGC